rnacentral:rRNA from 1 species
UACAUGUGGGGCAAGCGUUGUUCGGAAUUACUGGGCAUAAAGGGUGCGUAGGCGGGCUCGCAAGUCAGGGGUGAAAGCCCACGGCUCAACCGUGGAAGUGCCUUUGAUACUGCGGGUCUGGAGGGAGGUAGGGGCGUGCGGAACUUCCGGUGGAGCGGUGAAAUGCGUAGAUAUCGGAAGGAACACCGGUGGCGAAAGCGGCGCGCUGGACCUCUUCUGACGCUGAGGCGCGAAAGCCAGGGGAGCAAACGGG